AGAACGAACGCUGGCGGCAGGCUUAACACAUGCAAGUCGAGCGCCCCGCAAGGGGAGCGGCAGACGGGUGAGUAACGCGUGGGAACAUACCCUCCGGUUCGGAAUAGCUCAGGGGAAACUUGGAUUAAUACCGGAUACGGCCUAGCGGCGAAAGAUUCAUCGCCGGAGGAUUGGCCCGCGUCUGAUUAGCUAGUUGGUGGGGUAAUGGCCCACCAAGGCGACGAUCAGUAGCUGGUCUGAGAGGAUGAUCAGCCACAUUGGGACUGAGACACGGCCCAAACUCCUACGGGAGGCAGCAGUGGGGAAUAUUGGACAAUGGGCGCAAGCCUGAUCCAGCCAUGCCGCGUGAGUGAUGACGGCCUUAGGGUUGUAAAGCUCUUUCGCUAGGGACGAUAAUGACGGUAUCUAGACAAGAAGCCCGGUAACUUCGCGCCAGCAGCCGC
rnacentral:rRNA from 1 species